rnacentral:rRNA from 1 species
CCAGAGGUUACUGCUAUCGAGGUUCGACUAAGCCAUGCGAGUCGAAUGUAGCAAUACAUGGCGAACUGCUCAGUAACACGUGGACAACCUGCCCUUAGGUUGGGUAUAAACCCGGGAAACUGGGUAUAAUACCCGAUAGGUCUCGAUUGCUGGAAUGCAUCGAGAUUUAAAGCUCCGGCGCCUAAGGAUGGGUCUGCGGCCUAUCAGGUAGUAGUGGGUGUAGCGUACCUACUAGCCUACGACGGGUACGGGUUGUGAGAGCAAGAGCCCGGAGAUGGAUUCUGAGACACGAAUCCAGGCCCUACGGGGUGCAGCAGGCGCGAAAACUUUACAAUGCUGGCAACAGCGAUAAGGGAACCUCGAGUGCCAGGUUACAAAUCUGGCUGUCGAGAUGCCUAAAAAGCAUUUCAUAGCAAGGGCCGGGCAAGACCGGUGCCAGCCGCCGCGGUAACACCGGCGGCUCGAGUGGUAACCGUUAUUAUUGGGUCUAAAGGGUCUGUAGCCGGCCGGAUAAGUCUCUUGAGAAACCUGGCAGCUUAACUGUCAGGCUUUCAGGAGAUACUGUCUGGCUCGAGGCCGGGAGAGGUGAGAGGUACUUCAGGGGUAGGGGUGAAAUCUUGUAAUCCUUGAAGGACCACCAGUGGCGAAGGCGUCUCACCAGAACGGACCUGACGGCAAGGGACGAAAGCUAGGGGCACGAACCGGAUUAGAUACCCGGGUAGUCCUAGCCGUAAACGAUACUCGCUAGGUGUCGGCCACGGUGCGACCGUUGUCGGUGCCGUAGGGAAGCCGUGAAGCGAGCCACCUGGGAAGUACGGCCGCAAGGCUGAAACUUAAAGGAAUUGGCGGGGGAGCAC